rnacentral:rRNA from 1 species
AUUGAACGCUGGCGGCAUGCCUUACACAUGCAAGUCGAACGGCAGCACGGGUGCUUGCACCUGGUGGCGAGUGGCGAACGGGUGAGUAAUACAUCGGAACGUACCUUAUCGUGGGGGAUAACGCAGCGAAAGCUGUGCUAAUACCGCAUACGCCCUGAGGGGGAAAGCGGGGGAUCGAAAGACCUCGCGCGAUUAGAGCGGCCGAUGCCUGAUUAGCCUGUUGGUGGGGUAAAAGCCCACCAAGGCGACGAACAGUAGCUGGUCUGAGAGGACGAUCAGCCACACUGGGACUGAGACACGGCCCAGACUCCUACGGGAGGCAGCAGUGGGGAAUUUUGGACAAUGGGGGCAACCCUGAUCCAGCAAUGCCGCGUGAGUGAAGAAGGCCUUCGGGUUGUAAAGCUCUUUUGUCAGGGAAGAAACACCGGCUCUAACACAGUCCGGGAAUGACGGUACCUGAAGAAUAAGCACCGGCUAACUACGUGCCAGCCGCCGCCGUAA